rnacentral:rRNA from 1 species
CCAGGCUAAUACCGCAUACGUCCUACGGGAGAAAGGGGGCUUCGGCUCCCGCUAUUGGAUGAGCCUAUGUCGGAUUAGCUAGUUGGUGAGGUAAAGGCUCACCAAGGCAACGAUCCGUAGCUGGUCUGAGAGGAUGAUCAGCCACAUCGGGACUGAGACACGGCCCGAACUCCUACGGGAGGCAGCAGUGGGGAAUAUUGGACAAUGGGGGCAACCCUGAUCCAGCCAUGCCGCGUGUGUGAAGAAGGCCCUCGGGUUGUAAAGCACUUUCAGCGAGGAAGAACGCCUAGCGGUUAAUACCCGUUAGGAAAGACAUCACUCGCAGAAGAAGCACCGGCUAACUCCGUGCCAGCAGCCGCGGUAAUACGGAGGGUGCAAGCGUUAAUCGGAAUUACUGGGCGUAAAGCGCGCGUAGGUGGCUUGAUAAGCCGGUUGUGAAAGCCCCGGGCUCAACCUGGGAACGGCAUCCGGAACUGUCAGGCUAGAGUGCAGGAGAGGAAGGUAGAAUUCCCGGUGUAGCGGUGAAAUGCGUAGAGAUCGGGAGGAAUACCAGUGGCGAAGGCGGCCUUCUGGACUGACACUGACACUGAGGUGCGGAAGCGUGGGUAGCAAACAGGAUUAGAUACCCUGGUAGUCCACGCCGUAAACGAUGUCGACCAGCCGUUGGGUGCCUAGAGCACUUUGUGGCGAAGUUAACGCGAUAAGUCGACCGCCUGGGGAGUACGGCCGCAAGGUUAAAACUCAAAUGAAUUGACGGGGGCCCGCACAAGCGGUGGAGCAUGUGGUUUAAUUCGAUGCAACGCGAAGAACCUUACCUACCCUUGACAUCUACAGAAGCCGGAAGAGAUUCUGGUGUGCCUUCGGGAACUGUAAGACAGGUGCUGCAUGGCUGUCGUCAGCUCGUGUUGUGAAAUGUUGGGUUAAGUCCCGUAACGAGCGCAACCCUUGUCCUUAUUUGCCAGCGAGUAAUGUCGGGAACUCUAAGGAGACUGCCGGUGACAAACCGGAGGAAGGUGGGGACGACGUCAAGUCAUCAUGGCCCUUACGGGUAGGGCUACACACGUGCUACAAUGGCCGGUACAAAGGGCUGCGAGCUCGCGAGAGUCAGCGAAUCCCUUAAAGCCGGUCUCAGUCCGGAUCGGAGUCUGCAACUCGACUCCGUGAAGUCGGAAUCGCUAGUAAUCGUGAAUCAGAAUGUCACGGUGAAUACGUUCCCGGGC